rnacentral:lncRNA from 1 species
CCGCCCAAGAAAGGCCCUCAGGAGGGGGAUUUUAGCUACUGGGUUGAUGAUGCUUAUAAGGAUUUUCACGAGUCUGAGGCAAAAAAAAAAAAUUUGGUUCCCAGUCUCCUAAGUUUCCCAAAUUUUCUCAAGAAAUCCAUCCCAAAGAAGGAAAGGACAAGAUUCAAGAGGCUUUAAUCCUAAUUCUAAAAAGCUGACCCAAAGUGCACUUAAAAGGCCCAACACGCGAGCCUAAGGAAAAACUAAAGAGAGGCCAACCUUUGAAGGCCCAAGAGAAGACAAGCUCCAGGCCUUUUGGCCAAGGAGGCUCGUGGCUAAGAGGUGUGGCGUGUGCGGGCAAGCACAUGU